GACGAACGCUGGCGGCGUGCUUAACACAUGCAAGUCGAACGGAAAGGCCCCUUUGGGGGUACUCGAGUGGCGAACGGGUGAGUAACACGUGAGUAACCUGCCCUUGACUUCGGGUUAACUUCAGGAAACUGGGGCUAAUACCGGAUAGGAAUCCUUGCUGCAUGGUGGGGGUUGGAAAGCUUUGGCGGCUUUGGAUGGAUUCGCGGCUUAUUAGCUUGUUGAUGGGGUAGUGGCUUACCAACGCUUUGAGGGGUAGCCGGCCUGAGAGGGUGAGCGGCCAUCGUGGGUCUGAGAUACGGCCGAGACUCCUACGGGUGGCAGCAGGGGGGAAUAUUGCACCAUGGGCGGAAGCCUGAUGCAGCAACGCCGCGUGCGGGAUGACGGCCUUCGGGUUGUAAACCGCUUUCAGCAGGGGCGAAGCUUGUGGUGACGGUACCUGCAGAAGAAGCACCGGCUAACUACGUG
rnacentral:rRNA from 1 species